GAAAACACCUCUACAGACGCCUU
rnacentral:siRNA from 1 species